GGGGUGGUGGCGCAGUUGGCUAGCGCGUAGGUUUCCUAACAUUUAAGAGUAAUCCUGAGGUCAAGAGUUCAAACCUCUCUCACCCCA
rnacentral:tRNA from 1 species